rnacentral:rRNA from 1 species
UAAUACGGAGGGUGCAAGCGUUGCUCGGAAUCACUGGGCGUAAAGGGCGUGUAGGCGGCUUCGUGUGUCUGGCGUGAAAGCCCCGGGCUUACCCCGGGAAGUGCGUUGGAAACUGCGGAGCUAGAGUCCCGGAGAGGGAGGUGGAAUUCCAGGUGUAGCGGUGAAAUGCGUAGAUAUCUGGAAGAACACCGGUGGCGAAGGCGGCCUCCUGGACGGUGACUGACGCUGAGACGCGAAAGCGUGGGGAGCAAACAGGAUUAGAUACCCUGGUAGUCCACGCCAUAAACGAUGGGCACUAGGUGUCGCGGGUAUUGACCCCUGCGGUGCCGCAGCUAACGCAUUAAGUGCCCCGCCUGGGGAAUACGGCCGCAAGGUUA